GCACCGGGGGGUGUAAGGCGUAGCAUCGCUGCCCGGAAAGCAGAUGGUGUGGGUUCGAGUCCCUCCUGGCGCA
rfam:Heligmosomoides polygyrus genome assembly, scaffold: HPBE_scaffold0011493